UUACAAUCCUAAGACCUUCAUCAUUCACGCGGCAUGGCUGCGUCAGGCUUUCGCCCAUUGCGCAAGAUUCCCCA
rnacentral:rRNA from 1 species